AAUAUUCCGCAAUGGACGAAAGUCUGACGGAGCAAUGCUGCGUGCAGGAUGAAGCCCUNUGGGGUNUNAACUGCUGUCAGGGUUUNACAACAUAAUGAGCAGACCCAAACGAAGGGCCGGCUAACUUCGUUCCACCAGCCGCGGUAAUACGAAGGGCCCGAGCGUUGCGCGGAUUCAUUGGGCUUAAAGGGUGUGUAGGCGGACAGGUAAGUGCUUCGUGAAAGACCAUGGCUCAACCAUGGAAUCGCUGGGAAGACUACUUGUCUUAAGGUCGGCAGAGAUCGUCGGAACUCUAGGUGUAGCGGUGAAAUGCAUAGAUAUCUAGAGGAACGCCAAAGGUGAAAACAGACGUCUGGGCCGAUUCUGACGCUGAGGCACGAAAGCGUGGGUAGCGAAC
rnacentral:rRNA from 1 species